rnacentral:rRNA from 1 species
UACGUAGGGUGCGAGCGUUGUCCGGAAUUACUGGGCGUAAAGAGCUCGUAGGUGGUUUGUCGCGUUGUUCGUGAAAACUCACAGCUCAACUGUGGGCGUGCGGGCGAUACGGGCAGACUGGAGUACUGCAGGGGAGACUGGAAUUCCUGGUGUAGCGGUGGAAUGCGCAGAUAUCAGGAGGAACACCAAUGGCGAAGGCAGCUCGCUGGAACGGUACUGACGCUGAGGCGCGAAAAGCGUGGGGGAGCGAACAGG